UGUCCCGGGUUGGAAGGCACUCCGGCGCGCUUUUGUUAAUCGCGGUGUUAAAACGCCAUGCAAAUACCCGAGCUUUAUUAACAUGACAUGGAGUAGCAGUGCCAAGUGUAAAGAAGCAUACCUCCAGGCGUGGGGAGCAGUUUCUUUCAGGGGGAGGAAGAGGGAGCCAUAAAGUCAUCUGGCAGUUUAUCUCUUCCUGGGCUUGGCUGGCAGUCUGUGAACCGCGGGAGUCAAAGUGGAUUUAUUAGGGACGUUUAAAAAUAAUCAUGUGUUAGGUCUGUGUGUCCCAGUUUAUUAGAGGGGGGUGGCCUUGCUGUUGGAAAUUGGUCCAAACAAUAAAAGCCAUGAAAGUGAGCUUUUCUGUGGUCAACAGAGGCUAAGUUAGGCCAUAAUUAGGGCUUGUUAGUUUUGAAAUUGUGCUUUCUGGGGAAAUGGUGACUGUAGGAGGUGUUGUUUUUAUCUCUUUUGGUGCUAAAAAGCCCAAGCUGAGUUUACUCUUCUCCAUUUGGAAUUAAUUACGCCUGUCAGAUUUCCUGAACCUGAGGAGAAAAUAUCACAAACACCACUGCCCACACAGACGCUGCCUGCCUCUCCACUCCAGAGUACCCUUCCCCUAAAGACACAAGAAUGAGGGUGACCUAAAGAAGAGAAAUAUGAAUACGAAGCGACUGCAGUGUGGCCCAAAUACCAUGGAUGAGUCCCAGCACCAAGACAUAGAUUGUAAAGUGGGAAAACAAGUCUAUGGGGCACACUGAACAUGCCAUCCAAAGACUGAAACUGCAAAAAAGCUGUUCAAAAUCAAACUCAGCUUUAGCUUGAGCACAACUGACUCUUCAUUCACAACAGAAUUUUAAUUAAUUAAAUGUUUUGGCAUCCUGGUGGCCACAGGUCUGGGUCUGUCCAGUUGCAAGCACCUUCCCCUCUUCGUCCACAAAAGCCAAUAAUUGUGUACUAAACAAAAAGGGGGAAAGGAUCCACAACAUCAUCUGUCAUCAAGCAUGUUCGACACGACUUAAAAGCGAUGGACCAAAGAGCUGGAAACAUCUUAGUGACUGCAGCUACGAUGGACAGCAUUCACAAUGUAUUCCUACAAAGUGUUUAUAAUGCAUGUAUGCACUUCAGAAGUUUAUUGAAUUACAUUUAUGUUUAAAUAAAAAUAUGUAUCAGCA